rfam:Ciona savignyi cont_17962, whole genome shotgun sequence.
GGCAGGAUGGCCGAGUGGUCUAAGGCGCUGCGUUCAGGUCGCAAUUUCCUCUGGAGGCGCGGGUUCGAAUCCCGCUCCUGUCA